GUUGUAUAGUUAAGUGACUAAGCGUACAAGGUGGAUGCCUUGGCAAUCAGAGGCGAAGAAGGACGUGCUAAUCUGCGAAAAGCUUGGAUGAGUCGAUAAGAGGCGUUUAAUCCAAGAUAUCCGAAUGGGGAAACCCAGUAGAUGAAGAAUCUACUAUCAACAAGUGAAUUCAUAGCUUGUUGAGGCAAACCGGGAGAACUGAAACAUCUAAGUACCCCGAGGAAAAGAAAUCAACCGAGAUUUCGUCAGUAGCGGCGAGCGAAAGCGAAAGAGCCAGUAAGUGAUAGCAGUAUAGUGAGGAGAAUGUGUUGGGAAGCACAAUCAAAGAGGGUGAUAAUCCCGUAUCUAAAAACCAUAUUGUGGUACUAAGCUAACGAGAAGUAGGGCGGGACACGUGAUAUCCUGUUUGAAGAAGGGGGGCCCAUCCUCCAAGGCUAAAUACUCCUGAUUGACCGAUAGUGAACCAGUACUGUGAAGGAAAGGCGAAAAGAACCCCGGUGAGGGGAGUGAAAUAGAACCUGAAACCUUGUACGUACAAGCAGUGGGAGCCCCAUCACUUAAUCCGAUUGGAAGGUGAUGAAAAGCAACCGCACUUAAACAAUGGUAAGAGGAGCGAAGCGAGUCAAACCACCCAAAAGAAGCAGUGGGAUUAAGUGAUGGGGUGACUGCGUACCUUUUGUAUAAUGGGUCAGCGACUUAUAUUUUGUAGCGAGGUUAACCGAAUAGGGGAGCCGAAGGGAAACCGAGUCUUAACUGGGCGUUGAGUUGCAGGGUAUAGACCCGAAACCCGGUGAUCUAGCCAUGGGCAGGUUGAAGGUUGGGUAACACUAACUGGAGGACCGAACCGACUAAUGUUGAAAAAUUAGCGGAUGACUUGUGGCUGGGGGUGAAAGGCCAAUCAAACCGGGAGAUAGCUGGUUCUCCCCGAAAUCUAUUUAGGUAGAGCCUUGAGGUGACACCUUUGGGGGUAGAGCACUGUUUCGGCUAGGGGUCCAUCCCGGAUUACCAACCCGAUGCAAACUACGAAUACCAAAGAGUGAUACUCAGGAGACACACGGCGGGUGCUAACGUCCGUCGUGGAGAGGGAAACAACCCAGACCGCCAGCUAAGGUCCCCAAGUCUAUAUUAAGUGGGAAACGAAGUGGGAAGGCUUAGACAGCUAGGAUGUUGGCUUAGAAGCAGCCAUCAUUUAAAGAAAGCGUAAUAGCUCACUAGUCGAGUCGGUCUGCGCGGAAGAUGUAACGGGGCUGAAAUAUAGCACCGAAGCUGCGGCAUCAGGCGUAUCACUAAUACGCCUGUUGGGUAGGGGAGCGUUGUGUAAGCGGAUGAAGGUUCAUCGAGAGGUGGGCUGGACGUAUCACAAGUGCGAAUGCUGACAUAAGUAACGAUAAAACGGGUGAAAAACCCGUUCGCCGGAAGACCAAGGGUUCCUGUCCAACGUUAAUCGGGGCAGGGUAAGUCGGCUCCUAAGGCGAGGCUGAAAAGCGUAGUCGAUGGGAAACAGGUUAAUAUUCCUGUACUUGGUAAAGCUGCGAUGUGGGGACGGAGUAGGUUAGGUUAUCGCACUGUUGGAUAUGUGCGUUUAAGUUGGUAGGUGGGAAGUUUAGGCAAAUCCGGACUUCCUUAACACAGAGAGAUGAUGACGAGGCUCUACGGAGCUGAAGUAACUGAUACCACACUUCCAGGAAAAGCCACUAAGCGAAAGGCUUUACUAAACCGUACUGAAAACCGACACAGGUGGUCAGGUAGAGAAUACUCAGGCGCUUGAGAGAACUCGGGUGAAGGAACUAGGCAAAAUAGCACCGUAACUUCGGGAGAAGGUGCGCCGGCGUAGAUUGUAAGGGCUAGCCCCUGAAGGUUGAACCGGUCGAAGAUACCAGCUGGCUGCAACUGUUUAUUAAAAACACAGCACUCUGCAAACACGAAAGUGGAGGUAUAGGGUGUGAUGCCUGCCCGGUGCUGGAAGGUUAAUUGAUGGUGUAAUCGCAAGAGAAGCACCUGAUCGAAGCCCCAGUAAACGGCGGCCGUAACUAUAACGGUCCUAAGGUAGCGAAAUUCCUUGUCGGGUAAGUUCCGACCUGCACGAAUGGCAUAAUGAUGGCCAGGCUGUCUCCACCCGAGACUCAGUGAAAUUGAAAUCGCCGUGAAGAUGCGGUGUACCCGCGGCUAGACGGAAAGACCCCGUGAACCUUUACUAUAGCUUGACACUGAACAUUGAAUUUUGAUGUGUAGGAUAGGUGGGAGACUAAGAAGAUGAUACGCCAGUAUUGUUGGAGUCGACCUUGAAAUACCACCCUUUAACGUUUGAUGUUCUAACGAAGAUUGCGGAACGUGGUCUCGGACAGUGUCUGGUGGGUAGUUUGACUGGGGCGGUCUCCUCCCAAAGCGUAACGGAGGAGCACGAAGGUUUGCUAAUCACGGUCGGACAUCGUGAGGUUAGUGCAAUGGUAUAAGCAAGCUUAACUGCGAGACAGACAAGUCGAGCAGGUACGAAAGUAGGUCAUAGUGAUCCGGUGGUUCUGAAUGGAAGGGCCAUCGCUCAACGGAUAAAAGGUACUCCGGGGAUAACAGGCUGAUACCGCCCAAGAGUUCAUAUCGACGGCGGUGUUUGGCACCUCGAUGUCGGCUCAUCACAUCCUGGGGCUGAAGUAGGUCCCAAGGGUAUGGCUGUUCGCCAUUUAAAGUGGUACGCGAGCUGGGUUUAGAACGUCGUGAGACAGUUCGGUCCCUAUCUGCCGUGGGCGUAGGAGAAUUGGUUGGGGCUGCUCCUAGUACGAGAGGACCGGAGUGGACGCACCACUGGUGUUCCGGUUGUGUCGCCAGACGCAUUGCCGGGUAGCUAAGUGCGGAAGAGAUAAGUGCUGAAAGCAUCUAAGCACGAAACUUGCCAAGAGAUGAGUUCUCCCAAUCUAAGAGAUAGUAAGGGUUGUUGUAGACUACGACGUAGAUAGGUCAGGUGUGUAAGUGUAGUGAUACAUUGAGCUAACAGAUACUAAUUGCCCGAGAGGCUUAACUAUACAACGCUCAAG
rnacentral:rRNA from 1 species